GCUCAGGACGAACGCUGGCGGCGUGCCUAAUACAUGCAAGUCGAACGAACGGAGGAAGAGCUUGCUCUUCCAAAGUUAGUGGCGGACGGGUGAGUAACACGUGGGCAACCUGCCUGUAAGUUGGGGAUAACUCCGGGAAACCGGGGCUAAUACCGAAUGAUAGAGUGUGGCGCAUGCCACGCUYUUGAAAGAUGGUUUCGGCUAUCGCUUACAGAUGGGCCCGCGGUGCAUUAGCUAGUUGGUAGGGUAAUGGCCUACCAAGGCAACGAUGCAUAGCCGACCUGAGAGGGUGAUCGGCCACACUGGGACUGAGACACGGCCCAGACUCCUACGGGAGGCAGCAGUAGGGAAUCUUCCGCAAUGGACGAAAGUCUGACGGAGCAACGCCGCGUGUAUGAAGAAGGUUUUCGGAUCGUAAAGUACUGUUGUUAGAGAAGAACAAGGAUAAGAGUAACUGCUUGUCCCUUGACGGUAUCUAACCAGAAAGCCACGGCUAACUACGU
rnacentral:rRNA from 1 species